rnacentral:rRNA from 1 species
AUUGAACGCUGGCGGCAUGCUUUACACAUGCAAGUCGAACGGCAGCGCGGGCUUCGGCCUGGCGGCGAGUGGCGAACGGGUGAGUAAUACAUCGGAACGUGCCCAGUAGUGGGGGAUAGCUCGGCGAAAGCCGGAUUAAUACCGCAUACGACCUGAGGGUGAAAGCGGGGGAUCUUCGGACCUCGCGCUAUUGGAGCGGCCGAUGGCAGAUUAGCUAGUUGGUGGGGUAAAGGCCUACCAAGGCGACGAUCUGUAGCUGGUCUGAGAGGGCGACGAGACACAGGGGGAGAGACACACGGCAGAGACCUAUGGGAGGGGCCGGAGUGGAAAAUUGUGCAAGAUGGGAGAAAGCCAGCUAGAGAAGUGGCGCGUGUGAUGAAGGCCUUCGGGUUGUAAAGCACUUUUGGCGGGAACGAAAAGGACUGUGCCAAUACCACGGUUCGAUGACGGUACCCGCAGAAUAAGCACCGGCUAACUACGUG